GUCGAAAACCAUGGCGAAUCCUCAAGUUCUUUUGUAUGAGUUGAACGUUGAUUGGCGCAAGGAAAUUGCAGAGGCCAAACGUCGGUGUCAGUGUUUUGGAUAGAUUUGCCAACCUCCUUUAUAUAUGGUUCCUUUACUUGUAUGAUUAACGAUUGUUAGUUAACUUUUUAGACACAGCAACAUCCUUUAUAACGUAUGUGUUUUUAACAACUUAGCCACUACCGACCACCACUUCCAGACUUUGGAGGUCAUGGAAGGGAUAACCAGCCUGGUGAUGACAUGCUUGGAGCUGGAGCGGUUAAAACCAAUCCUACUGAUAGGUUUAACAGUUCAUCGCCUGAGAAAAUACCUGAUGGUGAUAACGCUGGAAUGCUUUAAGAAAGUGCUGUCGGCCCUGCUCUUCCAACUGUUCUGUCUCGAUAAAUAAACAGAUAAGAAAUUAAGAAUGAACCACUAAUGGAGGAGAAGGUUGAAGGGAAGAAGCCACACAUGACUUAACUUCACAGGCUUAGGAGAGCCAAAGGUCAGAAUGGACAACCUCUACUCUUUCGCAUUUCUGUUUUUAAAUGUUUCCACUUUGACUUUGUCUACUGUUUCCUGAAAUUAAACCAGCUGCUGGUUGUGUUUUAACUUUUAGUUGUAGUUGUUACAAGGGAAAGGUAUUCGUUAUAUGUUCAUAAAUAAAAGUUCCUUUAAAUCCUCUACACAUAAUCUGCUUUUAUGUAGUUGAAUAAUAAACUUUAGGAAUAUCUAGCACAGACUGGGAACUACCAGCAAAAACAUUGAUUAAUUAGUUGCAUUAUUGUUUGUUAUGUGUCUGUGAUAUUUUUAGUAGUAAGAGUGCAACUAAUAUUGCAGCAAUGCUGUAUCAGUAGCGUACAUGCUGCCCCACAAUAUGGGUGUUUACCAAAUUGUGCCUCCCCACGUCAAAUAGAAACCCAAAAACGCAUCAUAAAUAUUGAUACAACAGUCUUUAAUCCAUUAUAUGGCCAGUACGGAGAUUCAAGUUACAUAGUAGGCUACCACUAUUUCCACAUGAGACUAUCAUUUCAUCUGCUGAGUUUUCUUAUAGUACCAAAGCUGACAAAUGGGGCACGCCCAACAAUUAGAGAAAUAUUACAAGCAGUUAAAUAAAAAAAAGCAAUCCCAAAAGGCUUCCAACAAAUAUAUGAAUUCCUUAACUCCCAGGUUUCAAAAAAAAAAAAAAAGAAUGCCUUAACUCCCAUUUUAUUAACCAGUUUAUGUGUUUUUUCAUAACAUACUUUCGUAUCCUUCACUGCAAUAGCACCAUCUCUCUCACAAGAUGACUAGAAACCCUUCCUCGAAGAACCGAUCACUCACUCAAAGCUCCAAAAACACUCAGCGUGAAACGAUCGCCGCGAGCUAUGAGAAACUAUCACAUCCAACGCUACAUCUAACGCUACACCUGAAGGACUGCACGAAACAACAUUAAUCCCAUCGUGCUUUAAUCACGGGCUUACCUCCAGCCUUGAAGACUAUACCAUCGGCUCAUGCUAACAACAACACAUACCACAAUGCAUUGUUGAAAGGCACAAUAUAGGAGGACGAGAAAGGUAAGAUAUUAAUAUCAUAUGUAUGAGAACGUGUUCACAUACUUGGCGUGUAUGAAGCUCUAUGGGCUCAGCUUCAAGCAUGUAAGAAACGAAGCUCCAUUAUAGGUGGCAAUUUAUUCUGCACUACAUGUUUUCUUAACUAAAAGUCAACUACUCUUAGUAACUUACAAGAGUACACAGAGCAAGCAACAAUACACUCAUUACAAAUAUUUACUUAGACAAACAACUGAACGAAUAUAACUUACAGAUGAAACUACCCCUCCCCUCCAAACCCAACAUCAGCCUAUCAAGACACACUCCCUCCAUAACAUUAAUGUAAUAACAUGUUGCCAAUAUAGUUCAUAAACAAAAUAUAACAACAAAUAGAGCCAAACAUGAGUCACCAAAUAGGUUUAAGCUGCUAUCCCAAAUCAUCGGAAAUCUAAAAACACAACAGUUAUGCUGUAAAACAAACGCACAUGAGAAAUUAAACAAAUUAAGCAAACCAAUAUGUAAAUAUAUUUAGGAACUAGAUGUAACCAAAGAUAUAAAACCUCGCGCGGAAUAAAACAUCAUUUGUUGUUACAUAAUAUAUACUAUUUAUUAUUUAUGGCAUUAUUGAAACUAUUUAUAUAUUGUUUUAAGAUUUAACUUUUUAUAAUUUUAUCACAUUAUAUUUGAUUUUCAAUUGAUUUAGGGUGUGUGUAUUAAUUUAUUAUCGUGAAAAAUUAGUUAUUGUAAUAAUAUUAAAAUCUGAUAAUCUUAGAAAUAAAAUAUUAGUUUACUUUACCUUAGAUUUUCUUUAACUAUAUAAAAUUGAAAUAGAAAUCAAAUAAAAAAAUUUAAAUCAUUAUUUUUUUCUUAAUUUUUUUCUUAAUUUUUUAAUUUAAUAAUUUUGUGUUCUCUAACAAAGAAAACGUUAAUGAUCUUUUCAACUCAAACCAUCAAAAUUUAAUAAAGUUUACAAUAUAUUUUUAGAAUAAAAAUAGAUUAAAUUUAUUUUUUUCAGUACAAAGUAAAUUUUAUAAAAUUAAAUAUUUUAAUAUAAAUAGUUUUAGUGUAAUUUUACCCGCCCGUAGGGCGGGCCAACCCCUAGUACAAAAUAAACUUAACAACACUAAUUUAAAACAUAACUAUUACACAAAUAUAAAUAUUACAACAACACUAAUAGUCAGGUAAGUUUGAUCCGAAACCUUCAAAAUUUUCAAAUAUUGUCCAAUUUUUUUUUGUUAUACUGAAGAUGGUUGUUGUUGUUGUUUUUGAUGUCUUUUCGUACAAUUCUUUAUUAUAAAUAUCGAAUAUAUUCACGAGUAUUAAUAUCAUCAAAAAGAAAUUAGUCUUUUAGUAAUAUUUUAUGUUUCUCUUUUACUUUCUUGUUCCGAUCUUAUGUAUUUACAAGUAUCAAUAUCACCUGAUUUCAACAACUUUUAGCUCGCAAUCUACAAAGUAAAAAUGAGGAGAGUCAUUUUUAUUUUGAAAUGCACUAAUAGAUCAUAUAUGCAUUAGGAAAAUCAUAUAAGAUAAUAUGAUAUUUUGUUUGAAGUUUAAUAUUAAUUAAGUUGUUUUUAUUUAAAUUUUUAUAGAAUAUUUUAUUUAUUAAUAUUAUUGUAAUAUGUUUAUAUAUGUGCUAGUUAUUUAUAAAAAAAUAUGAAUUUAAAUUAGUUAUGACAAAUAUAAAGUCAAUUUUAUAAAAUAAAAUAAUUUUAAAAUUAAGUCUGAAAUUUUACUUUUAGAAAAGAACACAUUUUUCAGAGAUGCUAUAAGACCAAUAAACCAAUUGUAAGACAUUGAAUUGGUCAAUCAAAAGUUGAUGUUGAAUAAAAAAAAUAAAAAAGAGAUGGACCGCUCAGAUGCUUCUAAACCAUCCAUUCGUCGUAGCCGUCGAUCUUGAUCACGACGACAUUGGUGAUAGUAAGUAAAGAAAUCGAUGUUCAGGUGAAAACAGAGGACGUGUCCGAGAUGCCCAUUCGAAUUCUACGAUAGGGUUUCUGCUUCUUCCGAUUCAGGAACGCAGUAUCAACCUUUCGAUUCGCCGGAGGAGAGGAUUGCGAGUCUGGCGACUGAUUUAAUCCUUGAUUGGUCUGUCACCAGUAACUGGGUCACCCACCCGUGUAUGGUAACGGUUGUGAUUAAAAAACAGAGUUGCAGUGAAAGGCUAGAGCUUCUUUUUUUUUUUAAUGUUCAUCCAGCUAUUCAAAGAUUAAUUUAUUGGUAAACUGUUUGUCAAUAUAGAUACCAGUUCUUGUAUUCUUGAGCUAUGGUUUUGAUUAUAUUCAGUAUAUGGAAAUACCAGAUUUGUUUUCA